GGCCUUUUGAUUAUGAUUUAAGGUCUAGCCUGCCCAAUGAUGUAACAAUUUAAUGGCCGCAGUAUUCUGACUGUGCAAAGGUAGCAUAAUCAUUAGUUUUUUAAUUGAAAGCUUGUAUGAAAGGUUUGAUGAGAAAAGAACUGUCUCUAUUUAAAAUUUUAGAAAUUUAUUUUUAAGUUAAAAAGCUUAAAUUUUCAUUGAAGACGAGAAGACCCUAUAGAGUUUUAUUUAUAUAAAAAUAAUGAGAAUUUAGUAUUUAAAAUUUUAUUUUUUAUAUGAAUUUGAUUGGGGUGAUUGAAAAAUUUAUGAAACUUUUUUUGUAUUUUUACAUUUAUUUAUGAAUAUUUGAUCCUUUAUUAGAUUAUAAGAUGAAAUUACCUUAGGGAUAACAGCGUAAUUUUUCUUAGAGUUCUUAUUGAAAGAAAAGAUUGCGACCUCGAUGUUGGAUUAAAAUUUAAUUUUUGGUGUAGAGGCUAAUAAAUUAGGUCUGUUCGACCUUUAAAUUUUUACAUGAUCUGAGUUUAAACCGGUGUAAG
rnacentral:rRNA from 1 species